GACUAGUGACAGAGUGAGAGAGGGGGUGACUAGUGACAGAGUGAGGGAUGGGGUGACUAGUGACAGUCACCCCGUCUCUCACUCUGUCACUAGUCACCCCCUCUCUCACUCUGUCACUAA